rnacentral:rRNA from 1 species
GGCCCGGUUGGACGGUCUGCCCUCGGGCAUGUACUGUCCUGACUGGGUCUUCCCUUCUGGUGAGCUGUCGUGUUGUUUACUCAGUGCGGCAGGGAACCAGGACUUUUACUUUGAAAAAAUUAGAGUGUUUAAAGCAGGCAUUCGCUUGAAUACAUUAGCAUGGAAUAAUAAAAUAGGACUUUGGUUCUAUUUUGUUGGUUUCUAGGACCGAAGUA